UACGGGGGGAGCAAGCGUUGUUCGGAUUUACUGGGCGUAAAGGGCGCGUAGGCGGCGCCGCAAGUCGACUGUGAAAUCUCCGGGCUUAACCCGGAAAGGUCAGCCGAUACUGCGGGGCUAGAGUGCAGAAGGGGCAACUGGAAUUCUCGGUGUAGCGGUGAAAUGCGUAGAUAUCGAGAGGAACACCUGCGGCGAAGGCGGGUUGCUGGGCUGACACUGACGCUGAUGCGCGAAAGCGUGGGGAGCGAACAGG
rnacentral:rRNA from 1 species